GUAUGCUUGUUUCCACACUUGCAUUGCACAUCCCUGUUCAAUGUAUAGGGUCUCAUUAAAUGACUGUCAGGACAAAGGUACAAUUAUUUAGAUAAUCUAGAAGGAUCUUGCUACACACGUAUCCUACGUAGUCAAAGACACGUUUUUGCUUAAUCAGGUCCAUUGCAGAUGGAACUCUAAAUCCUUCUGCCAGUGAAGGAUGUGUGCUUAUUAAGAAAAGUAUCGAGAAUUCACUGCAGAGGUGAAAACAGUUGAAAGCGACACUGGAUUGCAGAUACUCCAUCCGGUGAGGUGUUGGUCUGGCAAAAAAACAAAUAAGGCAUUGCUUGAGAGUGGAAAUUUCAAGAAGAAUUUGCAUCUUUCAACUAACACAAGCUUCACUCUCUUCCGGUAUGGUGUUCAUUCUCGUUGUUUUAUUCAGUCUUCGAUUUUCUUCUAUGAUUUGAAAGUUAAUCUCUCUUUUAUGUUCAGUGUAGCAGAUUUCAUAGCCAAGGUAGCCGAGAACAUUAUAGGUAUAUACUAUCGAAAUCACAACAGUUAUGCUAUCCACAGAGAGUGUGAUCGUUGUGAUUUCAGGACAUGCAUUCAUGCAUCACAUUCAUACAUACAUGCAUAUGUUCAUGCAUUGCAUACACACAUACAUUCAUGCAUAUUUGCAUCCUUUAUUCUAGUUUUGUU